UGGGGAAUAUUGCACACUGGGGGAAACCCUGAUGCAGCGACGCCGCGUGAACGAAGAAGGUAUUCGUAUCGUAAAGUUCUGUCCUAUGGGAAGAUAAUGACAGUACCAUAGAAGAAAGCUCCGGCUAAAUACGUGCCAGCAGCCGCGGUAAUACGUAUGGAGCGAGCGUUGUCCGGAAUUAUUGGGCGUAAAGGGUACGCAGGCGGUUUAAUAAGUCGAAUGUUAAAGAUCGGGGCUCAACCCCGCAAAGCAUUGGAAACUGAUAAACUUGAGUAGUGGAGAGGAAAGUGGAAUUCCUAGUGUAGUGGUGAAAUACGUAGAUAUUAGGAGGAAUACCAGUAGCGAAGGCGACUUUCUGGACACAAACUGACGCUGGGUACGAAAGCGUGGGGAGCAAACAGG
rnacentral:rRNA from 1 species